rnacentral:rRNA from 1 species
GACGAACGCUGGCGGCGUGCCCAAUACAUGCAAGUCGAGCGAAGUUUUUCUGGUGCUUGCACUAGAAAAACUUAGCGGCGAACGGGUGAGUAACACCUAAAGAACCUGCCUCAUAGACUGGGACAACUAUUGGAAACGAUAGCUAAUACCGGAUAACAGUAUUUCUCGCAUGAGAGAUAUUUAAAAGUUGGUUAUGCCAACACUAUGAGAUGGCUUUGCGGUGCAUUAGCUAGUUGGUGGGGUAAAGGCCCACCAAGGCGACGAUGCAUAGCCGACCUGAGAGGGUGAUCGGCCACACUGGGACUGAGACACGGCCCAGACUCCUACGGGAGGCAGCAGUAGGGAAUCUUCCGCAAUGGGCGAAAGCCUGACGGAGCAACGCCGCGUGAGUGAAGAAGGAUUUCGGUUCGUAAAGCUCUGUUGUUAGGGAAGAAUGGAUAUGUAGUAACUAUACAUGUAAGAGACGGUACCUAACCAGAAAGCCACGGCUAACUACGUG